rnacentral:rRNA from 1 species
UACAGAGGGGGCAAGCGUUGUUCGGAAUUACUGGGCGUAAAGGGCGCGUAGGCGGCCUUCUAAGUCGAACGUGAAAUCCCCUGGGCUCAACCCAGGAACUGCGUCCGAUACUGGGAGGCUUGAAUCCGGGAGAGGGAUGCGGAAUUCCAGGUGUAGCGGUGAAAUGCGUAGAUAUCUGGAGGAACACCGGUGGCGAAGGCGGCAUCCUGGGACCGGCAUUGACGCUGAGGCGCGAAAAGCCAGGGGGAGCAAACGGGG